UGCCGGCGACCGGCGGACGGGUGCGUAACGCGUAUGUAACCUACCUUUGACAGGGGGAUAACAUCGAGAAAUUGGUACUAAUACCCCAUAACAUCACCGGAGGCAUCUUCGGUGGUUGAAAACUCAGGUGGUCAGAGAUGGACAUGCGUUGUAUUAGCUAGUUGGUGAGGUAACGGCUCACCAAAGCGACGAUACAUAGGGGGACUGAGAGGUCAACCCCCCACAUUGGUACUGAGACACGGACCAAACUCCUACGGGAGGCAGCAG
rnacentral:rRNA from 1 species